ACCCCCGAUCGCCGGCACUCGAGUACCACUGUUUGGGUUCUUCUGUGCCCUAGCUUCUGCCGCCGACGACGAGAGCCACUGCCGAGUCCUUCCCUGUGCCCUAGCCGACACUUGCUCCCGAGCCACUUCGACCACCCCGACUGUUGACCGAGCAGCACCGCUGUAAAUCCUUUCCGGCACCUCUAUCCUUCCGAGCAGUGCAGAGCUUGGAUGUUCUUCUCUGUUAUUGAUCAAUCCUUCUUUGUGGUGGAUCAACAAGCACAACUAUGAGUUAGCGAACGGUCUGAAGUUGCUGGAUUCCGGUCUUUCCGUUGUGAAUCGGAUCAGUUGCCAUCACAGACGACUGAAGGAGAGUUAGAGGACUUUGAUUCGAGACGAGC